CCUGCAUCAAAAAGCCGGACCAACAAUUCACAAUCCAUGGACUAUGGCCGGUUUCUGAGGAUGGUGCUUCUCUCAUCGAUUGCGAGGGGAAGGAUCUAAGCAAGAGAAAGGGUUGUGCGGCUCAUAGGAGGGAUCUACACUGGCUGGCCGACCAGGUAAAUCACUCUACUCCCUCGGUCGAUCUGCCCACCUUUACCCAUAUCUGAUGGGGAGCCUGUCCACGUCAAGGGCACUAUACGAUCGACCUACAACCUAUUAUCUGAAUAGGCGGUUGCACUCUGUAAACUGUAUACUGCAUGUAACUACGGUACCGUACUCUGUAAACUGUAUAGUCCAACAAGGUCUGAUACUAUAUACAUAUUCAUAUAUAUACUCUUUCACUGUUUUCAUCAUGUUUUCAAAAUUACCAUAACGCUAUCUUUAUGUUUUGUACAUACUAUAACUGUAGCAUCUCGAUGCUAUCUCUGUAUAACUGUCUAUAUAUUCUGUAAACGUUC